CUUAUAUUGCUUUAUCCUGCUAGAUAUUUGAUUAAAUUUCUCCCUAAGAGAUACACUGAUUAGGAUGAUAAAGAGAUCAGUAAAAUUCCAGUAUAAGAACAUACCUCCACUAGAACAGCGGUCCAAUGUGUAUAUCCAAGUAAUUUAAACCAUUGUGGAAAAGCAGAACCAAAAUAUAUUUCAACUGGAUAUUUCUUGAAAUUUUCACAAGUAAAACUGGACUGUACGUUCGAUCAGGCGAUGUAGGAGCUGAGUACAGAAUUUCGAAACUGAUAUAUUUGUAUGUUCUGGAUACUAUUGCAUUUACUGGUGGAAACAUCGACAUAAAAUUUGACUUUGGUGCGGAAUGCUUUGGGAUGCUUUUUGAGUGAAACAUCUCAACACAACUGUUCAGUCAAGACCAAUUAUAGUGCUACAGAUGCCCGACGCACUAUUGCCAGACCCUGUAUAUUACACGAUCGAAAAAAAGCGGCGUCAGAGGUCAGAGUUGUCUUUGAA